rnacentral:lncRNA from 1 species
GAUCCAAAUGUAAGCAGAAAGCGUGACGGCGGCGCUCGUUAAUCGUCGUGUUUUUCUGCGAUCUUAACUCUUGCAUCGCUUUUUCACUCCAUACCAUUGGGCCAACAAACUUCUUGUCUUCAGUCAUGCAAGACUAUUACUGGACUCCUACUGGACAUCCUGGGAUUCCCAUGGAGCAGUGACUGGCUGUUGCGGUGUUGAAAUAUUUAUCAAUUUAAUGCAGUUUCAUUCCUUUUGUCACUGUGGUUGAUUUGUAAUAUGAAUCUUUCUAGGAAAUGCCUCGAGUCUGCCCCAAGCAGACUGCUGUUUGCUGUAGAUUUGUUUUCCCCCAUUUGCUGCCGUUUGCACCUGAUUAUUGAUUCAUUAAUAUUGCAGUGUGGCAAAUUUGGAAAAGUGACAUUUUUGGGACAUAUUCUUGAAUGGUUAGCAUCUUUUGUAAUCAUCCCCAACCCUUCAUUUCAAAUGCAUUAACACUAUUUAUUUAUAUAUUUUCCCUUAUUUGGAUCAAGUUUGUUCAAAUUACUGCUAAGGUAGUUGAUAUUUGUAUAGUAGCUUGUUUGAUUUCUGUACAUGGUCCAUUAGAUCAACACUGUCAACAAUUUGUUUAAUGGAUCAACAAAGUUUUUAAUAAAUGUUUCACAUUA